rnacentral:rRNA from 1 species
AGCAGCCGCGGUAAUUCCAGCUCCAAUAGCGUAUAUUAAAGUUGUUGCAGUUAAAAAGCUCGUAGUUGAAUUUCAGGCCUGGCUGGACGGUCCGCCCUUCGGGUGAGUACUGUCUGUGGUCGGGUCCUACCUUCUGGCGAAGCGUCAUGGCCUUAACCGGCCGUGGCGGGGAACCAGGACUUUUACUGUGAAAAAAUUAGAGUGUUCAAAGCAGGCAAUCGCUUGGAUACAUUAGCAUGGAAUAAUGGAAUAGGACAAUGGUUCUAUUUGUUGGUUUCUAGGACCGUUGUAAUGAUUAAUAGGGAUAGUUGGGGGCAUUAGUAUUCAAUUGUCAGAGGUGAAAUUCUUGGAUUUAUUGAAGACUAACUACUGCGAAAGCAUUUGCCAAGGAUGUUUUCAUUAAUCAAGAACGAAAGUUAGGGGAUCGAAGACGAUCAGAUACCGUCGUAGUCUUAGCCAUAAACUAUGCCGACUAGGGGUCGGACGCAGUUAAUUUUAUAAUGACGU